UGGCUUUGCCCGGGUUCGAACCGGAGACCUUCAGUGUGUUAGAAGGUCUUGAUAACCAACUACACCACGAAACC
rnacentral:tRNA from 1 species